GCCUGCCUAGCUCAAUCGGAUAGAGCGUCAGACUUUUACAAGCGGGUUGAUCUGAAGGCUGCGAGUUCGACCCUCGCGGUGGGCU